rnacentral:lncRNA from 1 species
UGAUAUACAUGUACACAUGCAUACUGUAGUCAUGUUUCCACUCCAGCUGUUGGUAGUCUUCUUCAUACAUAGAUGUUAUUGUGUUCCGUUAAAAGACUUUUAUCACUACGGACAGUCACACGGCGACCAAAGAGUACCUACUAACGAUGAUGGCAGCUCUCCUCGAGUACCCAUUAGUACAUCGUUUCCAUAUUUCAAUCAAGUAUUUAGAUCUCUUUACGU